GUCCUUUUGAAAUUUAUUUAAGGUCUAAUCUGCCCACUGAUAUAAUUGAAGGGCCGCAGUAAUUUGACUGUGCGAAGGUAGCAUAAUCAUUAGUUUUUUAAUUAAAAGCUUGUAUGAAUGAUUGGACGAGAUAAAAUCUGUCUCUUAGUAAUUAAUAGAAUUUAAUUUUUAAGUUAAAAAGCUUAAAUUUGUGUAAAAGACGAGAAGACCCUAUAAAUCUUUAUAUUAUUUAAUUUAAUUUUAUUAUAGAAUUUUUUAUUAUUUAAGUUAAAUUUUAUUUUAUUGGGGUAAUAAAAAGAUAAGUAUAAUUCUUUUUUAAUUUUAACAUUAAUAUAUGAAAUUAAGAUCCAAGAUUAUUGAUUAUAAGAUUAAGUUACUUUAGGGAUAACAGCGUAAUUUUUUUAGAGAGUUCAUAUCGAUAAAAAAGUUUGCGACCUCGAUGUUGGAUUAAAAAUUAUUUCAGGCGCAGUAGUUUGAAAUUUUGGUCUGUUCGACCAUUAAAUUUUU
rnacentral:rRNA from 1 species